UUUCCUCCAGUUUCUUACUCGGUAACUACGUAAAAAGCCUGUCGUUGAGUAACACCACUCAGGGACACUUGAACCGGGUGAACAAGCCGAUAAGACGGCGCUGCUGAGGGGAUCGACUCACCUGGUGAGUAUAAAUUGGCGAGUUCUUGGGCACCGGCGUGUUGUGGACCCCAUCUGGCCGCACCCCGGCCCGGUCCCUGCGGCUCUGGGUUCUGUGUUUCCACUCCACGGCCGUUCUCGGUAACCAUUCUCGCCAUUUCUCCGCUGUGGGCCCAGCCCCUUCAACCUCUCUACUCACAGCUAGGAACCAAUUGCAUCAUCAACUUCUCAGCCAACAGACAGCGUAACGUUUUUAACCAAUCAUGUGAAAGUCGGUGAGCGCAGCAGCCAAUCAACGGACGACAAAAUGUUCCACACGCAGCCGAGUGACCAAUGCAGGUUACGAGGGGAAAGACCGAAUUUCCUGACACCACCCGUCCUCUAGUCCCCGCUCUGCUCUCAGCUGGAUGAAGUCUACAGUAGAUGGAGCUCUCUCUGUGUAUACGUGAUAUGAACCUCAUAAAAACUGGCGACAUGGGUCACAUGUCAAACUUUGUGACGCUACAGCUUCAACUAUGGACAACAUAUAGUCAGUUUUAAUCUGAUGUCGGCCGGGGGAGAGGGGACUUGGAAGCUAUUCAGCAAUCCAACAAGCACUCCUGAUGAGUAUAUUGGCUCAUUAUUAAUUCCUCCUCUAAAGGGACACCGGAUAUCCGGACCAUGGGUUGUAACGGGAAGCCAGAGCGCCUGAGCUACGACCGGGAAAUGUAUCAUCUGUUGAGUCUACGUUGAGGUCGGCACACGUAUUUGGGAUGUGACACCUGAAAAACUGAGGCCCUGAGCAUCCGAGAUGACAUAUUGAAAGAACGUUUGGGUGUUAUUCCCAACCAGCCAACCUCUCACAAUGCAUUUGUAAAAUAGACGAGUGAACAUGAAUCUGCUGAAGUCCAAAUAAUCCACUCACUCGCAGAGUAAACCCAGAGUCAAAUCAGGCUGAUUGGCCAGCCUAGUCCACUUUGCAACAUCAGUGGAGAGAUAGAGGAACAAAAAGGAGGAGGAAAGAAAGACAUCAGUGGAAAUAGGCUCGAUAGCAGGCAUAAGCACCGAGUGCCAGUGCCGUGCACAGGCACACGUUGGUUACUAGAGGGGACCAAGUCCCCGGCACAGGAGGGUUUUCCUUUGGCUGCUCCACUGCCUCGGGCAGCUCCUGCUCCUUGGUCUCAUGCUGCUGCUGGGAUUUGGUUGAAGCUUCGGAGGCAUGAUGUUGGAUUUCCAUGUGGCUACCAACAUCGUCAGGAGGCGGCUGAGGGGCAGGAAUGUUCCUCUUUCGCAGCUCAGAAUCUUGUGAGGACCUGAGUGAGGAAAGAAUUUAAGAGAGUAAAGUUAAGCUUUAAUGCCCCCAUGUGGCAAUUUGGUGUAGUUUGGUUUGACUGGAUGGAUAACAUUUGGAAGAUGCAAGGAUUUUUUCUUCCUGGAGCCAGUUGCACCAGCUCGAAGUUCAAAAGUAGCCUAUUUGUAAAGUAUUUACUAAAUUUAAAUGGGUUAAACCACACAAACUAGUUCUUGCUUAGUGGUAUUAUUAUUUAUAUUAUUAUAAAUAUUUUAAUUUACAUUUCACUAACAUAACACACAUCAAAUAAUGCCAGUGACAUUAGACUUAAUAACCAAAUAAUAUCAGUUAGGUUAGCAUAAUGAGAUAUUUUCCACUCAUUCUAAACUGCAUGAAUACUACUAACUCUCACAUUUCUCCAGUCAUAACUACAUUUACAACUUUUUGUCAGGUGUUCAUUAUAUCACAAUUAAGCUGUAGCAUAACUUCCAAAACGCUACAGCUUGUGCUACUACAGUGACUUUCUGAUUCCAAGGUUGUUUACUUUUGAUUGGACAGUGCUACAAAUGUUUCCUAGCAACCGAUUUAAACAUUUCUUCGAACAGGAUGCACCGAAAUGAAAAUUCUUGGCUGAAGCCGAAACUGAAUAUAAUGAAAAAAUUUGCUGAAUA